rnacentral:rRNA from 1 species
UGGGGAAUAUUGGACAAUGGGCGAAAGCCUGAUCCAGCCAUGCCGCGUGUGUGAAGAAGGUCUUCGGAUUGUAAAGCACUUUAAGUUGGGAGGAAGGGCAGUAAGCGAAUACCUUGCUGUUUUGACGUUAUCGACAGAAUAAGCACCGGCUAACUCUGUGCCAGCAGCCGCGGUAAUACAGAGGGUGCAAGCGUUAAUCGGAAUUACUGGGCGUAAAGCGCGCGUAGGUGGUUCGUUAAGUUGAAUGUGAAAGCCCCGGGCUCAACCUGGGAACUGCAUCCAAAACUGGCGAGCUAGAGUAGGGCAGAGGGUGGUGGAAUUUCCUGUGUAGCGGUGAAAUGCGUAGAUAUAGGAAGGAACACCAGUGGCGAAGGCGACCACCUGGGCUCAUACUGACACUGAGGUGCGAAAGCGUGGGGAGCAAACAGG